CUAGGUGAAAUUCAAGAGUGGACAGAAUAGAACCAUGGAGUAUUCAGUGCCAGGGAAAUGGCCAUCAGGAGCCAAGGAACAAGAAACUACUUCUGGAAAGAAGAGGCACACAGGUACGAUAUGAAAGGCAGCCCAGAAAAUGGCUAAGGAUUCUCAAAAAGACAAUGCAGAGACCCCUUCACUACAAGACAAGAGGCGCCCCUCUCAGGAUCUGCCACUAUGUACUCCCCUUGGCUCCAGGCCAACACAUAGCGUUAAGGUGCAGCAUAAGACAACUAGAGAAGUGUUGGGCUUGCCAAGGAAGGAAAGUGAAUAUGCACACAUGGAGUCAAUUUGCACCAGAAGGAAACUGGGGAGUACUACAUGCCUGGAUUCUAAAGAGUCUACUUCCCUGGAAAGAUGACCUGCUGACCUGCAUGACCUACAACAUGCACCUAGCAAUCAUUUAUGUAUUUGAUAUAUUUUUUAAUUUGAGCAACUA
ensembl:lncRNA novel transcript